GGCUGUCUGAGUGUGGUGGUGUUUACAAUCCAUCACAGCCAGUCACAGCUUUCUUUGUUCCUUCUCCAUGCUCCACUGCUUCACUUGACUAACCUAAA
rnacentral:Y_RNA from 1 species